rnacentral:rRNA from 1 species
GACGAACGCUGGCGGCGUGCUUAACACAUGCAAGUCGAACGGUAAAGCCCUGCUUUUGUGGCGUCCUCGUGUGGCGCGCGCGGGAGUGUCACGUGAGUAACCUCCCCCUGUCUUUGGGGUACCACCAGUAGAAUCGAGCUCUUACCGCGCAUAAACUCCUUAAGCACGGUGUGUGUUGGAAAAUUUCGGCGGUUGGUGAUGGAAACGCGGCUUCGCAGCUUGUUGGUGGGGUGGUGGCUUACCAACGCAUGGAGGGGUAGCCGGCCUGGGAGGGUGACCGGCCACAUUGGGCCUGAGAUACGGCCCAUAGGCCUACGGGGGGCAGCAGUGGGGAAUAGUGCACAAUGGGCGGAAGCCGUGUGCAGCAACGCCGCGUGCGGGAUGACGGCCGUCAGGGUGUAAACCUCUUUAGCCUGUGACGAAGAGUGAGUGACGGUAACGGGUAAAAAAGCACCGGCUAACUACGUG